GCGUGAAGGGGCGGGGGCGGGGGACCCCCUGGGCUGGAGGCCCCGCCAUUGGAGGGGCUGAUGGCAGAGCGAGGGAGCUGGGGGCGGGGGGGUCAUCCAGGGCCAGGCUCCACCUGAGAUGCGUGUUGCUCAGCCCCGGACGGACGCGGGCGCCUCGCCAGGGAAGAAGCUGGGCACUCGGGCGCGGCCCCUUUAAGGCUGCUCCUGCCCGCUGGGGGCGAUGAGGAGCUGGCAGCGGCCGAGGAGCCAGGCGCAGCCCGACAGCCCCAGAGCGGAUCCCGGCAUGGAGCUGACACAGCAGCCUGUGCCAGCUUUGCCCACCCAAAUACACCCCACUGCCAUCAGACCAGGCACCUGGGUCUGAAAAUCUGGCCCCAGGCAUGCGUGGAGAGAGAUUCCCUGUGGCGGGGGAGAAUUCUAGCCAGGAGAACGUCUGCGUCCAGUGGUAUCCCUGCCAAAAACAACCCUGCAGAAAUACAACUCUUGGCUGGCUGGCUUUCCCUGAGAUGAUCUGAAGAGGAGCUGGA
rnacentral:lncRNA from 1 species